UACGAAGGGGGCUAGCGUUGCUCGGAAUCACUGGGCGUAAAGGGUGCGUAGGCGGGUCUUUAAGUCAGGGGUGAAAUCCUGGAGCUCAACUCCAGAACUGCCUUUGAUACUGAAGAUCUUGAGUGCGGGAGAGGUGAGUGGAACUGCGAGUGUAGAGGUGAAAUUCGUAGAUAUUCGCAAGAACACCAGUGGCGAAGGCGGCUCACUGGCCCGAUACUGACGCUGAGGCACGAAAGCGUGGGGAUCAAACAGG
rnacentral:rRNA from 1 species